rnacentral:tRNA from 1 species
GGAAGUAUAGCCCAAUGGUAGAGCACUUGCCUAGCAUGCACAAGAUCCUGGGUCCAAUUCCCAGCACUACAA